AGAGUUUGAUCCUGGCUCAGAACGAACGCUGGCGGCAGGCUUAACACAUGCAAGUCGAACGGUCUCUUCGGAGGCAGUGGCAGACGGGUGAGUAAUGCAUGGGAAUCUACCGUUCUCUACGGAAUAACUCAGGGAAACUUGUGCUAAUACCGUAUACGCCCUUUUGGGGAAAGAUUUAUCGGAGAAUGAUGAGCCCAUGUUGGAUUAGCUAGUUGGUAGGGUAAAGGCCUACCAAGGCGACGAUCCAUAGCUGGUCUGAGAGGAUGAUCAGCCACACUGGGACUGAGACACGGCCCAGACUCCUACGGGAGGCAGCAGUGGGGAAUAUUGGACAAUGGGCGCAAGCCUGAUCCAGCCAUGCCGCGUGAGUGAUGAAGGCCCUAGGGUUGUAAAGCUCUUUCACCGGUGAAGAUAAUGACGGUAACCGGAGAAGAAGCCCCGGCUAACUUCGUGCCAGCAGCCGCGGUAAUACGAAGGGGGCUAGCGUUGUUCGGAUUUACUGGGCGUAAAGCGCACGUAGGCGGACUUUUAAGUCAGGGGUGAAAUCCCGGGGCUCAACCCCGGAACUGCCUUUGAUACUGGAAGUCUUGAGUAUGGAAGAGGUAAGUGGAAUUGCGAGUGUANAGGUGAAAUUCNUAGAUAUUCGCAGGAACACCAGUGGCGAAGGCGGCUUACUGGUCCAUUACUGACGCUNAGGUGCGAAAGCGUGGGGGAGCAAACAGGNNUANNUANCCCUGNUANUCCACGC
rnacentral:rRNA from 1 species